GGGUGUAUCCUGCCUUCCGCCCGAAGACUGCUGGGAUAGGCUCCAGCUCCCCCCCGCGACCCUGACGGAGAAGCGGCUUAGAAAAUGGAUGGAUGGAUGGAUGGAUCCAUCAAUCUCAUCUGAUUUACCAAGAUUUCAGCAGAAAAAUCACCUAAGACACCUGCAGGGGUAGAGGGGUUUAAAUCUCACCAGGAUGAGAGGCCACAAAUAGCCCCCUGAAGCGAGCCUCCGUGCGGAAGUUGACCACCAGACGGCCCUGCUCAUUUAUCCUCAUGCUAGUUGGGUACAGAGCUCCUGAAACACAUCAUGGUCGGCUCUGCUUGUGGGGGGCUGCCAAUUCCAUCCUUCCACAAGAUGGCAGUGUCGUACACAAAAGUGAGCCGCAGCUCAGACUGCAGGUCAAAGUGCUGCCAGCCGCCCGCUCCUACAGGAGAGUGGAACACG